rnacentral:tRNA from 1 species
UCCAUAGUGUAGUGGUUAGCACAUUUGCUUUACACGUAGAAGGUCCUGGGUUUGCACCCCAGUGGA